AUGGCUCCCUCCAAGGGCACCACCAACCUCUUUAUCGUUCAGUGGUUUCUGCCCUUCUCCUUCUCCAUCUCUCUAAUGGGUUUGACAUUCUUUACCGCUCCCUCCUGUGGUCUACUCUGGCCUCAUGGAGUUUUCAUCAUUGUUUUAUUUUCACAGUUACAUCAUUCAUAUUUUUUCUCUAGUUUCCUCAAUUCUCAAAUACAUAAUAAUAGCAUUAUCUGCCUCCGUUUCCUCAAUUCUCAAAUAGAUAAUAAUAGCAUUAUCUGCCUCAGUUUCCUCAAUUCUCAAAUACAUAAUAAUAGCAUUAUCUGCCUCUGUUUCCUCAAUUCUCAAAUACAUAAUAAUAGCAUUAUCUGCCUCAGUUUCCUCAAUUCUCAAAUAGACAAUAAUAGCAUUAUCUGCCUCAGUUUCCUCAAUUCUCAAAUACAUAAUAAUAGCAUUAUCUGCCUCCGUUUCCUCAAUUCUCAAAUAGAUAAUAAUAGCAUUAUCUGCCUCAGUUUCCUCAAUUCUCAAAUAGAUAAUAAUAGCAUUAUCUGCCUCCAUUUCCUCAAUUCUCAAAUAGAUAAUAAUAGCAUUAUCUGCCUCCAUUUCCUCAAUUCUCAAAUACAUAAUAAUAGCAUUAUCUGCCUCCAUUUCCUCAAUUCUCAAAUACAUAAUAGCAUUAUCUGCCUCAGUUUCCUCAAUUCUCAAAUAGAUAAUAAUAGCAUUAUCUGCCUCAGUUUCCUCAAUUCUCAAAUAGAUAAUAAUAGCAUUAUCUGCCUCAGUUUCCUCAAUUCUCAAAUAGAUAAUAAUAGCAUUAUCUGCCUCCGUUUCCUCAAUUCUCAAAUACAUAAUAAUAGCAUUAUCUGCCUCAGUUUCCUCAAUUCUCAAAUACAUAAUAAUAGCAUUAUCUGCCUCAGUUUCCUCAAUUCUCAAAUAGAUAAUAAUAGCAUUAUCUGCCUCAGUUUCCUCAAUUCUCAAAUAGAUAAUAAUAGCAUUUACCUCCCAGAGUUAUGCUGUUAUCAUUCUUCAGUCAUUCAGUUGUGCACAAUUCUUGGUGGCCCUAUGGACCACAGCAUGCCAGUAUUGUCCAUGGGGUUUUCUUGGCAAAGGGACUGGAGUGACUUGCCCCUUCCUUCUGGAGUGGAUUAA
rnacentral:lncRNA from 1 species